AGUGACUGUAUGUACAUACCCCAACCAAAGGCCAUGGAUUACAGGCAACACCCUCACUGAGCUGAAGUCUAGAGCUGCUGCUUUCAAGAAGCGGGACACUAAUAUGAAUGCUUAUAAGAAAUCCCACUACGACCUCUGAUGAGCCAUCAAACAGGCAAAACGUCAAUACCAGGACUAAGACUAAGAUUGAAUCCUACUAUGCCAGCUCUGACACUCGGCAGAUGAAGCAGGGCUUGCAAACUAUUACGCAUUGCAAAGGAAAACCCAGCUGUAAGUUGCCCACCGACGCAAGCCUACGAGAGGAGAGAAAUGUUUUUUUCACAUUUUGUUACAUUAUAGCUUUAUUCUAAAAUUGAUUACAUAUUUUUUUUAUUCAUCAUCUACACACAAUACCCCAUAAUGACAAAGCGAAAACAGGUUGUUCAAAAAUUUUGCUAAUUUAUGCUAAAUAAAAACAGAAUAACAAUAUUUACGUUCGUAUUCAGAAUCUUUGCUAUGAGAAUCGAAAUUUAGCUCAGGUGCAUCCUGUUUCCAUUGAUCAUCCUUGAGAUGUUUCCACAACUUGAUUGGAGUCCACCUGUGGUAAAUUCAAUUGAUUGGACAUGAUAGGGAAAGGCACACACCUGUCUACAUAAGGUCCCACAGUUGACAGUGCAUAUCAGAGCAAAAAACAAGCCUUGAGGUUGAAGGAAUUGUCCGUAGAGCUCUGAGACAGGAUUGUCUAAAGGCACAGAUCUGGGAAAGGGUACAUAGAAAUGUUUGCAGUAUUAAAGGUCCCCACGAGUACAGUGGCCUCUGUCAUUCUUAAAUGGAAGAAGUUUGGAACCACCAAGACUCUUCCUAGAGCUGGCCGCCCAACCAAACUGAGCAAUCGGGGGAGAAGGGCCUUGGUCUGGGAGGUGACCAAGAACCCCAUGGUCACUGACAGAGCUCCAGAGUUCCUCUGUGGAGAUGGGAGAAACUUCCAGAAGUACCACCAUGUCUGCAGCACUCCAGCAAUCAGGCCUUUAUGGUAGAGUGGCCAGACGGAAGCCACUCCUUAGUAAAAGGCACAUGACAGCACGAUUGGAAUUUGCCAAAAGGCACUUAAAGGACUCUCAGACCAUGAGAAACAUGAUUCUCUGGUCUGAUGAAACCAAGAUUGAAGACUUUGGCCUGAAUGCCAAACAUCACGUCUGGAGAAAACCUAGCGCCAUCCCUUCGAUGAAGCAUGGUGGUGGCAGCAUCAUGCUGUGGGGAUUUUUUUCAGAGGCAGGUGCUGGGAGACUAGUCAGGAUCGAGGGAAAGAUGAACAGAGAAAAGUACAGAGAAAUCCUUGAUGAAAACCUGCUCUAGAGCACUCAGACUGGGGGAAAGGUUCACCUUUCAACCAGACAAUAACCCUAAGCACACAGCCAAGACAACGCAGGAGUGGCUUUGGGACAAGUAUCUGAAUGUCCUUGAGUGGUGCAGCCAGAGCCCGGACUUGAACCCGAUCAAACAUCUCUAGAGAGACCUGAAAAUAGCUGUGCAGUGAUGCUCCCCAUCCAACCUGACAGAGCUUGAGCAUAUCUGCAGAGAGGAAUGGGAGAAACUCCCCAAUUGGUCCUUCUGUGGCUCAGUUGGUAGAGCAUGGCGCUUGUAACGCCAGGGUAGUGGGUUCGAUUCCCGGGACCACCCAUACGUAGAAUGUAUGCACACAUGACUGUAAGUCGCUUUGGAUAAAAGCGUCAGCUAAAUGGCAUAUAUAUAUAUAUAUACAGGUGUGCCAAGCUUGUAGCAUCAUAGCCAAAAAAGACUUGAGGCUGUAAUCAUUGUCAAAGAUGCUUCAGCAAAGUACUGAGUAAAGGGUCUGAGUACUUAUAUAACUGUGAUAUUUCCGUUUUUAUUUUAUACAAAAAUAUAUAUAAAUAUUUGUAAUGAUGGGGUAUUAUGUGUAGAGUGAUGAGGAUAAACAACAAUUUAAUCAAUUUCAGAAUACGGCUGUAAUGUAACAACGUGGAAAAAGUCAAAGGGUCUGAAUACCUUCCGAAUACACUGUUUAUGCAGUGCUUGAAUUGUGCAGGAGCUAUCCAGAGCGCCAUACCGGCAUUUCAAAUGUUUGGGUAAUUGCGUACCAGCUCCUCUAUAAAACAAAGUAGCCUAUCAUCGUCCCAGAUUCACGCAUAAGGCAAAAAAAUGUUAAUCAAUGCAGAAUGAAGGCGGGAUCUGCAUUGAAUAGCAAUGGUGAGUGGGCAUUCGUUUCCUGAUUCCGCUUUGUUCAAAUUUAUUUGCCGCUACUCUGUAAAUCUGUGCGUGACAGUAGGCUGUUCGAGAUUGUGCAGAUUGAAAAUACACCAACCUGAAUGCGCUUGAUGCGCCGUUCCAAAUGGUCAAAUUAGGGUUUGUAAGAUCAUGAAAAGUAAUGUAAUUCAUGAAGCCACGCUUUUAAAUAUGACCAAUCACUUAUAAAUAUACAUAUCAACCAUUAUCGGAAAGACCCUUCUUUGUGUGUUGCAUGCCAGUAGGCCGUUGCCCGAGGAGAGAGCGCGCGACAAAUCAGCAGCAUGUAUAAAAUAAUGACAGACUAACUAGAUAGCCAAUUCAAAACAUACCAUUUAGCAGUUAUCUCGCUAGUUAACUAUAGCUAACUAAGCAUUAAUAUCGUCGUCGUCACCGCCACUAAAUCUUGCCUAAAUAAAUCUGCACCGUUGGAAAACUGGGAUUCCCGUCUAUUAAACAGUAGCAAUGUAUUUGUUGCAACGUUAAAAUAUAACUUGCUGUGCAUGGAUGUCCCCUGAAACAUGUUUAUUUGCACCUUAUACUAUCACGACUCCGGAUAUGAACCAAAUGCAGACACGGGAGGCGGGUAGUACCAGUUCUCAGAUGGUUUAUUAGAAACACGGGGCAGGCAAAGAGCAGAUUGAGGGCAGACAGAGAGAGGUUUGUGAUCAGGUCAGAGUCAGGCAGGUCCAGGCCAGCAGGCAGGCUCUGGGUCAGGGCAGGCAGAGAGAGGUUUGUGAUCAGGUCAGAGUCAGGCAGGUCCAGGCCAGCAGGCAGGC